rnacentral:rRNA from 1 species
CCUACGGGGCGCAGCAGUGAGGAAUAUUGGUCAAUGGUCGGGAGACUGAACCAGCCAAGCCGCGUGAGGGAUGAAGGUACAGAGUAUCGUAAACCUCUUUUGUCAGGGAACAAAGGCGGGGACGUGUCCCCGGAUGAGUGUACCUGACGAAAAAGCAUCGGCUAACUCCGUGCCAGCAGCCGCGGUAAUACGGAGGAUGCGAGCUUUAUCCGGUUUUAUUGGGUUUAAAGGGUGCGCAGGCGGUCUGUUAAGUCAGCGGUCAAAGCCCGGGGCUCAACCCCGGCCCGCCGUUGAAACUGGCAGUCGCGAGUUGGAGAGAAGUAUGCGGAAUGCGCGGUGUAGCGGUGAAAUGCAUAGAUAUCGCGCAGAACUCCGAUUGCGAAGGCAGCAUGCCGGCUCCACACUGACGCUGAGGCACGAAAGCGUGGGUAUCGAACAGGAUUAGAUACCCGUGUAGUC